rnacentral:rRNA from 1 species
AUUGAACGCUGGCGGCAGGCUUAACACAUGCAAGUCGAACGGUAACAGGGUGCUUGCACCGCUGACGAGUGGCGAACGGGUGAGUAAUGCGUCGGAACGUGCCGAGUAGUGGGGAUAACGCCGCGAAAGGUGGUCUUAUACCGCCUAAGUUACGAGGUAGAAAGGGGGGGAUCUUUGGGGCUCACGCUAUUCGAAGGGCCGGCGUUUGAUUAGCUAGUAGGUGAGGUAAAGGCUCACCUAGGCGACGAUCAGUAGCGGGGCUGAGAGGAUGGUCCGCCACACUGGGACUGAGACACGGCACAGACUCCUACGGGAGGCAGCAGUGGGGAAUUUUGGACAAUGGGCGAAAGCCUGAUCCAGCCAUGCCGCGUGUCUGAAGAAGGCCUUCGGGUUGUAAAGGACUUUUGUCAGGGAGGAAAUCCCUAGUGCUAAUAACACUGGGGGAUGACAGUACCUGAAGAAUAAGCACCGGCUAACUACGUGCCAGCAGCCGCCGCGG